UUUUAUGCUUUCUUGGAUAUCUUAAAUAUUUCAUCAUGUUUUUCUCAAGGCUGAUAAUAUCACCCAUUUCCCUUUUAAUCCUUAGGAGCUAUUGUAGGCCUCGAAUUACUUGAUUGACAAGGUGAACAAAGUUCUCUGGGGCAUCUGUACUGCUCUUAGUUUGGGUGUGUUUUCAAAGAAAUAAUGCAAAUACUGGUCUGUAAAUCUGAGCUUCUGUAUCAGUUUGAUUCCAUCAAGAAGCAGAUGCCUAUGGAAGAUAUGUCGCGAGAGAUUCAUUGGAGGGAAGUGUCUUUGAAGCAUAAAGAGGAGGUGCGGGAGGAGGCAGGCGGAGCCUUCCAUCUGUACUGUAGGCUUGACUCCUGGGACAGGAGAGCAGGAAGGAAGGAGCACCGGCUAGGAAGAGCCUCAGACUGCAGUGCAGUUCUGAAAAGGGUUGGGCCAGGCUGUUGGGGUGUCCUCGAGCGCACGCUGCUUGUCAGAAGAGUCCCAUGUUGUGCAAGAGCGGGCCAGCACUGGUACCCUCUCUGCGCUCAGUCAGUGGCAGGGAGCAGCCCUGGGGAAGCCUGGCCUUGCAGCGAAUGCGGCGGUGAAUCCAGAGCGGUGGUGGCCAGGACCCCUCAGCGGGGACUCAGUCAGCUAUGCUUCCUGCAGCCAAUUCUCUUGAAGGAAUUCUGAACGGAGCAUUCCUAUAGCUGCACCCCUUGCACCCCACAGACCCACUUCUUGCAGGAUUGAGGAGCAACUCCGUGAUUUCUAUGUACUUUGCUUAAGGAGGAGUUGAGUUGGAUCAUCAGUAUCCCCUGUCACUGAAGGGCCACAUCUAGUAUUCAUCCUGUCUUCCAUCAUCCAUUUUAAAUGUUCCUCAUCCACAGCUGUCACCUUAGCAGGUUUUGGUGGCUUACCUAAUGGUGUGACCUAAACCUUCAUUCCUGAGGGGUUCCAACCUUUGCUAAUCACACCCUUAUCAGGCUGGGGUUGUUACACAUAUCCAUUUACAACUGCAGUGGAGCGAGGGAAUACCAGUAGGCACCAAAUGGGUCACCUGUGUUCUGCACAUAGUUCUCCCAUCCCCCUGACUCCCGCUGAGCAACAUCAGUGACUCCUGCCAGAAGGGUGACUGCUCUUCUAGCUUGCUGGUCCCUGGACAUAGGAAGUCCAAAGUACCUUGGUGACAGUAAUGGCAUGUAGUUCAGUAGGACUUUUGCUGUGUACCCUAGUAAGAGUGUACCCCCUUUGGUGACCAAUUCUUGCAACCCUGAAGAGCCCAGAGUUUUAGGAAUGGUAAGCAGAGUCCUCCAGUGGGUCACUGGAAGUGAUGGUAAUUGGAGCCAUCACUUGUAUCCGAGAGAUUUGAUGCAUAUACUGCAUCCUGAAGCGUGGUACCCCAUCCUUUCAGCAUGUUGCCUCUGAGCUGGUGCUUACGUUGUGUCUUCAGUAGGCCACUCCAGUGAUCUGUGAGACUGCAGAUUGUGUUUAUGUGAUAUGAUCAGUGGGUUCUGUGGUUGGGCCCACUCUCACUCCUUUGCUGAAAUAGAUCUCCUGGAUAAAAACUGUUAUGGGGUGGGAUUCAUGCCUGUGAAUUAGGCUUUCUAUUAACACCCAAAUAGUGGUGCUGGCUGAGACUUUGUAGCUCUGGUAUCUGGCGAUAUCAGAAUAGGUAUCCCUGUGAAGUUGAAUUGCUGGCCUUUCUAGAAUCAAAAGGAUCCAGUGUAGUCUAGAUGACGCUAAGUGGUCUGUUGUUCUCCUAAAGGUGUAGCACCAUAUCGGCAUAGCAUUAGUCUCUGUUGCCGACAGAUCGGACAGUCAGAAACACAAUAGCUAGAUCAGCUUUGGUAAGUGGGAGUUCAUCUGUUGGGCUCAAUCAUAGCCUCUAUCUUUGCCACAAGCAAUUCUAUCCAUGUGCCCAUUUUGCCUCUUCUAGGGUGGCCAGUGUCAAAUGAUGGGAUCAUUUUAUCUACUUGGUUGUUGAUGAAAGUGCCUCUUCUAUGGUGGAUGCCCAUACCCUCCCCAGAGGGCCAGCCAUUGACCACUGCCCAGGAAUCUCACCUAAGGCCACUUCUACAUAAAACUAUGAGCAGGGCAAGGAUUCAAUGUGGUGUUUACUCCAACUACAUCAUUCCCAUUUAUGCAUUUGGGAACUGAGGAAACGACAACUGGAUGCUUGAAUCAUCACACCUGCAAUGGUAGUUUCCUUCAUCAGGAUAUUUUUCUAGGUCAUCACCACUGAAAUCUUCAGCAAUUGGGCCAGAGGAUAGUUUUUAUCAGCCAGGCAGUGAGUGAGCCUAUUUCCAAACUCCAUCUUACUGGCUAUGUGUUUUCUUUAAUCACUCUCAGUAUCACCUGGGUCUGUUCAGGUUCUCUGAGAAACAGACACCAAUCAGGGUUAGACAAGCAAGAGAUUUAUCGGAGGGAACUGUGUGUGAAGGAUAAAGGGGAGGGAACAGGAGUAGGCGGCAAGAGCCUUCCACCUGUGUUGAAGGCUUGACACCUGUGACAGGAGGUGGAAAGAAGGUCUGAGUAGGAAGCGCCUCAGACUGCAAUGCAGCUCUAGGAGGCCUUUAGCCAAGCCAGUGGGGAGUCCUUGAGACAGAGUUGCCUGUCAGAGAAGCCCUGAGCCCCUUGAUGACAGGCCAGCACUAAGACCCCUGCUGUGCUAAGUCACUGGCUGGGAACAGCCCAGGAAAGUGUAGCUCGACAGGAGCCUGGUGGUGGAUCCAGAGGCUUUGCAGCUGGGGUUCUUAGGAAACGACGCUCCCCACUGCCAGUUCUCUUGAAGGAGAUCUGAGUGGCACAUUUCCUGUGGCUGCUACAGCCACCCACUUUCAUUCCCAUUGUCAUUAUGAUUUCAUACCGAUUCGUAUUUCUGUAUAGGAGAUCUCAGAUCACUGUUUAGUGCACAGUAAUUUUUUUACUUAUCCUGAAAUUAAUGUAAGUGAAAGUGCAGUUCAUUUGUAAGGUGCUAUUUAAAUAUUUGUCUUAAGUGAUAUUCACUUAAGUGAUAUUAAUUUAAUAUUGGUUUUAAGUGAAAGUAACUGUUACAUGAUUGGGAGUGACCAUGGGAGAGAAAGCAGCCAAGCUCAACACUUAGCACUUGGCAUAUAGUGGGUGCGCAGUAAGUGUUUGUUGACAUAAAAUAAAACCCAGACUUGGGUCCCUGGCAGAAUAUUUGCUUAUGAUUUUAGUUAUGUAUUUUCAUGACUUAGCUCUUUUUCCUUAAUGCCUUUGUCCUCCAUAAGCCAAGGAAUGCAGAAUGUCCCUAUGUAAGGAGAAUGCUGCCUUAAAAUAUAUUUUGUCCUGAAAUAGUAAAAAAAAAAAAAAAUCGUCCACAUGCAUGAAUAAAAAAAUGUGGCUCAAUUUUUUGAUGGUUCUAAUAAUAAAAAUUAGAUUUGAUACAACAAAAAGUUGAUUAAAUUAAUUGAACUAUGCAUUAUAGCUGGUUACAUUCUUUUUUUUAAUCAAUGUAAGUUGUGUUUUAACAUUUUAUUUAUUUCUUUAUUUUAUUUUU